rnacentral:rRNA from 1 species
UACGGAGGAUCCAAGCGUUAUCCGGAAUCAUUGGGUUUAAAGGGUCCGUAGGCGGGCUUAUAAGUCAGUGGUGAAAUCUCCCAGCUCAACUGGGAAACUGCCAUUGAUACUGUGGGUCUUGAAUUAUUAGGAAGUAACUAGAAUAUGUAGUGUAGCGGUGAAAUGCUUAGAUAUUACUUAGAACACCAAUUGCGAAGGCAGGUUACCAAGAUUCAACUGACGCUGAGGGACGAAAGCGUGGGGAGCGAACAGG